rnacentral:lncRNA from 10 species
CUGAGAAAAUGAGUCUAACUCAUAAAAUGAGACGGGAAAUGCAGUUAAAAUUCAUAAAGCAAAAAUAAGUUGUUGAAAAGUAGGUAAAUUAAAAACUCAAGAUACAAGGUUAGCAAAAUUAACUUUAUUAUUAUUUAUUUGAAACGGGGUAUUGCUCUGUUGUCCUGGCUGGAGUACAGUGGUGUGAUCUUGGCUCACUGCAACUUCCGCCUCCUGGACUUAAGCGAUCCUCUCACCUCAGCCUCCAGAAACUUUAAAACAAGUUCACACAUACUGAUUAAUCUAAACUCACCCUCUCCAUUUCUGCCUAAUUAUUCCCAAUAAGGUAUUACUAACAAUUAAGAUAUUAGUAGCUGUGGCAGCCGGGCCCAGUGCUUAUGCCUGUGAUCCCAGCACUUUGGGAGGCCAAGGCAGGCAGAUCACUGGAGGUUGGGAGUUUGAGACCAGCCUGACCAACGUGGUGAAACCCCGUCUCUACUAAAGUACAAAAUUAGCCGGGUGUGGUAGCACGCACCUGUAAUCCCAGCUACUUGGGAGGCUGAGGCAGAAUCGCUUGAACCUGGGAGGAGGAGGUUGUGGUGAGCAGAGAUUGCACCAUUGCACUGCAGCCUGGGCAACAAGAGCGAAACUCCAUCUUCCAAAAACAAACAAACAAACAAAAAUAUAUAUAUAUACACACACUAUAUAUAUAUACACAUAUAUAUAUAUACACACACUAUAUAUAUACACACUAUAUAUAUACACUAUAUAUAUAUACACUAUAUGUAUAUACACUAUAUAUAUAUACACACUAUAUAUAUAUAUACACUAUAUAUAUAUGUAGCUGUGAUGGCUCCUUAGCAUGAAAGUAUGACCUUGAAAUCUUAGACUUGUCAUUUACAUAUUUAAACUCCAUUAUUCUUUUUUUCUUUUUUUAAGACAGGGUCUUGCUCUGUUGUCCAAGCUAGAGUGCAGUGGCUUGAUCACAGCUCACUGUAGCCUUUAACCUCCUGGGUUCAAGCAAUCCUCCCACCUCAGCCUCCAGAGUAGCUGGGACCACAGGUGCACAUCACCAUAUGCCUAGCUAAAUUUUUUAAUUUUUGGUGGAGGCGAGGUCUCCCUAUGUUGCCCAGGCUGGGAUCCUGUUUUUCUUUUUCUUUUCUUUUGAGACAGUCUUGCUCUGUCACCUAGGCUGGAGUGCAGUGGUACAAUUUCAGCUCACUGCAACCUCUGCCUCCUGGUUUCAAACGAUUCUCAUGCCUCAGCCUCUGGAGUAGCUGGGAUUACAGGUGUGUACCACUAUGCCCGACUAAUUUUUGUAUUUUUAGUAGAGACAGGGUUUCACCAUGUUGGCCAGGCUGGUCUUGAACUCCCGGCCUCAAGUGAUCCUCCCACCUCGGCCUCCCAAAGUGCUGGGAUUAUAGGCUUGAGUCACCGCCUCCGGUGGAUCCUGUUUUCUUGACUGUAUUUCAGGUUUAUGCAGACCAGGUAGGUUUGUGUGUGUGAAACACCCAUGAACAGUGCAGGUACAAUGUGUUUAACAAAGGGUAGCUCUUACUAAAAAGGCAGCCCUGACCUUUACACAGACAGAUGUUGAUAUUUUAGGGCAAAGAAACAUUUGUGUGGUAUCAAACAGUGGCUACCAACUCCAGCCCAUGGAUAACUGAUAAAAGCUUUUAACAAUUAGCCUCCAAAAUAAGAAAAAUAUGAACAAAAUAGUGAAUUUUUCAUAAAAUUAACACUUUUCAUACGCUUAUUCAAACUGAUGGCUAUUUUUGUCCACUAUUCCCAUGUUCUUUUUCACUCUUCUGGUGUCAAACUGUCUUUUACGAAAUACUGGUAAUAAAUUGUAGCUUUUUGAUAUACUCCUGCUUGGAAAAAUCAAAAGUUGGCAAUUGCAUACUAGCCACCCCUAUCCUGCUUUUAAAAUGUUGCUAGUAUGAAAACAACGACUGGGAACCAGUGUUCUAGAGAGGGAGACUUGUUAGAAAUGAGAAAGGCCUUAGGAGACCCGCAGCUCUCUGGAAAACAGGCUUAAAUAAAUUGGAAUCAUCCCGGGGACACUUUCCAAAAUUAUCCAUACUCAACCUCCUAAAAGUAUUGAAUUAGAAAACUGCUGUGCUACAGAAAAAAUGAGGGAUAAACCAAGAAGGAAGAGGAUAGGAAAUCCAGAAACAAGACGUCCAAUACAGGAGGGUGGCAACAGAAAGUCCCGAGGACUGCAGUGUGCACCAGGUCUAGGCAACAACUAGGCAGGAGAGGUGUAUGGGGAGAAGGUAAACUGGUCACUCCAGGAAGACACCACCUGUAUAUUAAAAGGGACGCAAUCACAGUGCAUUAACCUGUGCAGUGAGCAAUAGUAUUCUCCCAGGCAGUGUCCCAGCAAGCCAGAUAGCACUCUUGAGAGGAAGCAGUAGCCCAGAGCCAGUAACAGAAAUACCACCACCCCUGGGCCCAAAAGGGCAGGGUGAAGGACAGGUUAGGAAAAAUAAAAGAAGUCAGGUGGAGUUGGCUGCCUGGAGUGUUCCUUGAGGCACAGUGACUUCUGGCUGAGGAACAGUUGGCCUGAGGUGACCUUGCAGAGAGAGGGCCAAGGGAAUAAACACUCUGCCUUCAUUCUCCUCCCUCCAGCCAUCUCCUGCUAUGGAUCGCUAUUGGCCAAACCCAGCAGAACCCAGAGACAUGGGAAGUCUGUUGAUGUCUAUACAGCUUCCUUGGGCUGAAAGCAGGAUGAGGGGAGCAGAGACUUGGGAGGGGCAAAUGAAAGACACCUGGCACACUCAUGCUAUGAACACUGAUGAUGUGGCUUUGGACAGAAAAGCUGAGACCUGCUGAUUUACAUGAUUUAUAUCAAAUAAAGCCCAAGGUAAAUCAGUGACUUGACCAGCCACAGAACUUAAUAGAGCCUGAGUUAGGACCCAGACUUCAUUAGGGACCCAAGGGCAGGAGUUCCUUUUAAUCUUUCCCAGCUUCAGAGUGAAUACAAAAAAUAUAUAAGGAUGCAUCUCAUCAUCUUUGAAUAUUUAUAGGUCCCUACACUGAAUUUUCAAAGCCCAAGAUAAAAAUCACAUAGCGGCCCAGGUCCAGACCCAGGCCCAGCCAGCCAUAUGAGUGAGCCCAGAACAGCAAAGAACUGCCCAGUCGAGUCACUGCUGCUGAAAACCACUAAAUUUUGGAGUGUCUUGUUACGCAACAAUAGUAAUUGUUGUCCCACCACUACACAGAUGCCAUCACAACAUCCAAAUUCUGCCUUCUGACGUGGUGAAAAAUUUCCCUUUUGAAUAUUUCAAUAGACUUUAAAAGAAAAUGAACUACCAGUUAAACUGAAUGUUUAAUACAUUUGUAGGAACAGAAGAAAUGCAGUAAGGAUUAAAAUUUUAUAAUUAGACAUUAAUGUAACA